CCUACGGGUGGCAGCAGUGAGGAAUAUUGGUCAAUGGACGAGAGUCUGAACCAGCCAAGUAGCGUGAAGGAUGACUGCCCUAUGGGUUGUAAACUUCUUUUAUAUGGGAAUAAAAUGUUCCACGUGUGGGAUUUUGUAUGUACCAUAUGAAUAAGGAUCGGCUAACUCCGUGCCAGCAGCCGCGGUAAUACGGAGGAUCCGAGCGUUAUCCGGAUUUAUUGGGUUUAAAGGGAGCGUAGGUGGAUUGUUAAGUCAGUUGUGAAAGUUUGCGGCUCAACCGUAAAAUUGCAGUUGAAACUGGCAGUCUUGAGUACGGUAGAGGUGGGCGGAAUUCGUGGUGUAGCGGUGAAAUGCUUAGAUAUCACGAAGAACUCCGAUUGCGAAGGCAGUUCACUGGACUGCAACUGACACUGAGGCUCGAAAGUGUGGGUAUCAAACAGGAUUAGAUACCCGUGUAGUC
rnacentral:rRNA from 1 species